UCCCUGGUAGUCCAGUGGCUAAGAUUCUGUGCUGUCAGCACAGGGAGUCUGGGUUCAAUCCCUGGCCGGAGAA
rnacentral:tRNA from 1 species